rnacentral:lncRNA from 1 species
UUUUUUUUUUUUUUUUUUUUUUUGCAUUUGUGGUUCUAUUUGCAGAUUCUAUUCCAUCUCCUUGAGCUACUUCAGGGGCUGGCAACCUCUCUGUAAGGGGCCAAGAGUCAGUGUCCUGGGGUCUGUAGGCUCCAUGGUCUCAGCUGCAACUACUCCACUCUACCAGUGGAUCACGAGAACAGCCAAUGGGGGUCAGGUCCAGCAGCAGGUGGGGGCAGUCCCAGAAGUCACCUAAAGGUCUUUAUUCCUGUGAGUUCACUCUUCAAAUUUAAUUCUCACAUGCACACUGAUCUGCUUCAGAACUGUUUUGAGCACUAUUCAGUCUUUGUUAACAUUUCUACUGUUUGGCUAUCAAACAUGCCAUGCAGCCAAUCUCCAUUUGUUGUGCUACUUUGAAAUUAAACUGUCAAAUUCUAAGCAAAACAAAACAAGGCAAAAGGCUUUGCCUAGGAGUAUACUAACAGCUAAUAUUAAAUGCACAUUUACAGUCAAGUAUUAUUCUACUACAUAGAAUAUUGUGUUACACUUAAUCUUGACAACUCUGUCACUUGCUAGCUGGGCAUCCUUGGAAAAAAACCAGUUCACUUGUACACCUCUUGUGCAUGUAUAAAAUGACAGCAGCUAUCUAGCUCAUAAAAUCACUGUGAAGUAAAGUGAAUGCACAUAAAGCACUUAGAACAGAGCUGGCAUACAGUAAGGACUCUAUUCUAUGUUAACAAGUAGAGAAUCCUCCAGGAAAAUAAAAACCAAACUAAACCAAAUGCCUCACCUAAAGCAACAUGCAGCAGCACUGUCAGCCGCCAUGGUCCUUGCCUUUGAUGCAUGCAGAACAUAUCUGGGGGUGGGGGUGGGGGGAUCGAGAUCACUGCAAAGGCAGCGCUGUGUCAUCUCUCUUUGGUAAGUUCUGAGUAAGUAGUAGAGAUGGUGAAGGCAAAGGGAGCCAGCAUAUGCUGAAUGCUGAAAAUUAAUGACUGAAAAGGGAUUAACACGGAUGGGAGUGAGAUUGAGAAAGAGGAAAGUACAUCAAAGUGAAGAAAGAACACAGGGUGUGCAAUGAGUCAAGUGGCGAUCAACAGCAUAUGAAUACGCUGUUCCAGUAAAGCUACCCGUAAAUAACAGGUGAUGGGCUUGAGCUGGCACAUGGGAUGUAGCAGACCCCUGGAGCCACCUGACUGGAGUGAAGCAGCGUGAGUUUUCAGGAGGCACGGGUUUUAAGUACAACAGCAGGUUCUAAGCCAGGAUUAGAAAGGUUAGCUUGUGACUUUAUGGGGCUGAGAAGUAAGCAAAGGGUUAACACUAACAUUUAUUAACCAUUUACCAUAGGCAAGAACAAUUCUACUUUUAGGCCUGUAAACUUUUAUCAAGUCCCAUUCUGUCAGGAAAAGCAGCUGAGACAAAGAGAAAGUAGUCCUUAUGAGAGGGUGAGGUGGGAUGAGAACACAAGCCCCUGUCUUCAGAGCUCUGCCCUCGAUCACCCGGAGGGAUGCCCGCAGAGCCCUGGUAUGCAGAGGCAUGUGCCUGGACCAGCACAGAAACCCCUGGUGAAGACAGGUUCUGAGGAUCAGGAACCACACUUGUUUAUGUGAACAGGUGGAAGGAGAGUGAAAACCAAGCAGUGAGGUAGUACUGCAUGUUAAACAUCAUAAUGGAAAACCUGAGAAAUUUUAUCACCAAAGAAUUACACUACUGGUAGGGCUGAGAGCCAAGAAUACAGAUUGGAGAAGUGCAACCCAUGGAGCAGGUGAGAAGCUAGAGACCAGAUAAACCAUUGAAAGAGCUAGUGGCAAUUCUGUCAGAAGUACACCCACUGAACACUUGUGGGCAAGAUGAGUCCCUGACACUAGGGAUGGCAUACCCUUAACUCGGGAUAUGAAAUACAGCCUGUGAGCUUUGUCAGGAAGCCCUGACCAUUAAAAAUUAAUGGUGCUAUAGCAGCAAUGUCCAUAAUAGCCAAAAAGAUAGAUGAAUGGAUAAAGAUGUGAUAGAUAUCACUCAGUCAUAAAAAAAGAAUGAAAUCUUGCCAUUUGCAACAAUGCAGAUUGAACUAUAGGAUGUUAUGCUAAGCGAAAUAAGUCAGAAAAAGACAAGUAUCAGAUAAUUACACUCCUACGUGGAAUUUAGGAAACAAAACAGAUGAACACAGGGGAAAGGAAGGAAAAAUAAGACAAAAUUAGAGACGAGACAAACUGUAAGAGACUCUUAACUCUAGGAAACAAACUGAGGGUUGCUGGGGGUGGGGUGGGGGAGAUGGAUGGGGUAACUGGGUGAUGAGCUUGAAGGAGGGCACGAGAUGUAAUGAGCACUGUGUUAUAUGCAACUGAUGAACCACUCAAUUUUCUCUCUGAAACUAAUUACACAUUGUUAGUUAAACUGAAUUUAAAUAAAAAAUUUAAAACAGUAGGGAAAAAGAAAUCAAUGGUGCCCUCACAUAACUUGUCUGGUUAUUAAAGCCUAAGCAAGGUACAAGAGAUUUCUAGAAACAAAAAAAUUAGACUUUAUUUUUGUUGUAGUUAUUUUUAAUACAGGUAACUGUAUUGUAGACAUCUGUUAGCCUC